rnacentral:rRNA from 1 species
UACAGAGGUCUCAAGCGUUGUUCGGAUUCAUUGGGCGUAAAGGGUGUGUAGGUGGCGCCGUAAGUCGGGUGUGAAAUUUCGGAGCUUAACUCCGAAACUGCAUUCGAUACUGCGGUGCUUGAGGACUGGAGAGGAGACUGGAAUUCAUGGUGUAGCGGUGAAAUGCGCAGAUAUCAGGAGGAACACCAGUGGCGAAGGCGGUGCUCUGGGCCGGAACUGACGCUGAGGAGCGAAAGCGUGGGGAGCAAACAGG